rnacentral:misc_RNA from 1 species
AACUUUUGACAACGGAUCACUUGGCUCUCGCACCGAUGUAGAACGCAGCGAAAUGCGAUACGUGAUGUGAAAUGCAGAAUACGUGAAUCAUCGAAUCUUUGAACGCAACUUGCACUCCCUUUCGGGGGAGUAUGCCUGUUUGAGAAUCUAUAGCUCUAUUCAAGUGUUAUGCUUGAGAUAUGGACCUUGUUUGCCUAGCAAACUGGUCUAAAGUUUAUAGUGUGGAAUGCAGUUGCAUUAGCACUCCAGUGUAUGAAGGAUUUAUUCCGGUUCACUAGACGUCGCAACUAAAUUUAGCACCCAAAUUUUGAACCUUGGUCUCAAAUCAGGCAGGAAGACCCGCUGAACUUAAGCAUAUCAAUAAGCGGAGGCU